ensembl:snRNA U6 U6 spliceosomal RNA
GUGCUGGCUUCAACAGCACAUAUAUUCAGAUUGGAACAACACAGAGAAAAUUAGCAUGGCCUUGUUCAAGGAUAACACAUGAAUUCAUGAAGCAGUCUGUAUUUUU